UCGAGAAUCAUUCACAAUGGGCGAAAGCCUGAUGGUGCGACGCCGCGUGGGGGAAGAAGGUCUUCGGAUUGUAAACCCCUGUCAUGUAGGAGCAAGACGCAAGUUUGAUAGUACUACAAGAGGAAGAGACGGCAAACUCUGUGCCAGCAGCCGCGGUAAUACAGAGGUCUCAAGCGUUGUUCGGAAUCACUGGGCGUAAAGGGUACGUAGGCUGCCGGAUAAGUCGUGCGUGAAAGGCAGGGGCUCAACCUCUGGAGUGCGCAUGAUACUGUUUGGCUGGAGUAAUGGAGGGGGAACCGGAAUUCUUGGUGUAGCAGUGAAAUGCGUAGAUAUCAAGAAGAAGACUCGUGGCGAAGGCGGGUUCCUGGACAUUUACUGACGCUGAGGUACGAAGGCCAGGGUAGCGAAAGGG
rnacentral:rRNA from 2 species